rnacentral:sRNA from 1 species
UAUUUUAACUUAUCGUCUGAAACAGUUGUUCCAUACAUAAACAAAUAACGAACAGUCAUUGAUACAUGGGAUAUAUUUAUAGAUGUCCCAGGACUGAAUGCCCUUGUUAAUAGACACACAGUUGUUAUGAUUGUCGUAAGAAGUGCUUGUAUUUAUCGCUGUUUCAAACGAAGUACCACCGCCUUGUUAACCAUUAAUCAAAAUCACCAUUACAAUCAAACAUUUGUUGCCAAACCAAGGCUCUUAUUGUUGCCAAUACUGUUAACUACCAAACUCUUGUUGUUAAUCCUGUUUCCUAGAUUCCGAAUUCUGACCGUUUCUAUGCAAUACCAAGUAAAGCAUUAUGUUUUGAUGGUGAAGCCUUCAUCAAUCUCAGUAUUUGAAUUUUCUGUUUUGGCCCAGAUGAUGGGAAAGUUUUUUUUCACCCAUCAAAUAAAAACUGAUGUUGCAUGCAUCAUGACCGUUCAUUAAAUUAGUUGAAUCCGGUGAUAGAGGAUCUGUAAGGGGCAGAAUUCUGAGACUUUUCGGAAAUGGCAGAACAAUGGAUAUCCUUAUACAUUCCAAAAAGUUUGAUUUUUUUUUUACGGACCAGAAACAGUCAUCUUUUGAAUUAAUUUGUUUUCUUUUCGCUGCUGUAGAUUGUGAUGACAUUGAAGUGGUAAUAGCUUUAACGUAUUCAGAUAUUGUUUAUACACAGAUUUCUAUUUUGUACGGUUGUUUAUUUUUUCGGCCUAUUGGUCAUACUUAGAAGGUAUACCAGACUACCAAACAUAUCUAGUAUUAUAAAUGUGCUGACAUGCAUCUUUUUACUUUCUGUGUGUAUAUACUGUCAUUCUAAUGUGAAAACCCUUUUAUUUUAUUUUCAUUGAUUUUGUGUAUAAGUUGAGAAAUGGAAGUUUUUAUCAUGACUGUUGCAAGUUCGCUGAGAUUUUUUUUCAUGUUUGUUUUCAUGUGUAUCUUUCCCUGAUGUGUUUUAUUUGAGGCAUGGAGACGCCUCCAUGUCUAUAAAGCUUGUUUGUCAUGGUUCUUUAUCAUGCUCCUAUAUGGCAUUUGUUCCUUUUCAUUGUCUGUUGUUGCUAAACAUAUUUGCCCAGUUUUUUUUCAUUUUAUUUAAAAUAUACAAAUAUAUAUUAUAUCCAAUGUUAUCUUACAGAUUCAUAGCUGAUACGGCUAUUUUUCUGCUGUACUACAAAUUAUAUGCUUUUUGUUCAGUGCAAAAAAGAAAAAUAUUCUAUAAAAGUUUCCUUUGACAAGCACCCAUGCAAUGUUGAUCAAGUGCUUGAUAAAUAUCUGUGUAUUGUUUUCUGUGUAUUCCUAGACUUGUGUAUUUUGUGAUGAUCUGAGAAUUUUGUGUUUAUAUUAGUUACUAAUAAUUUGUAUCAGUUGUAGUGUUGAUAUAGCUGUUCAUUAUUACCUGUAAUCCCAUUUGUGUACAUUCCAUUUAUUUACCUAUGCUUAUCUCGAAGAGAAAUAAAAAAUCAUCAAUAAUGACUGAAAUAAAAAUGCUCUAGAAU